rnacentral:rRNA from 1 species
AUUGAACGCUGGCGGCAGGCUUAACACAUGCAAGUCGAGCGGGGUGAUGGUGCUUGCACUAUCACUUAGCGGCGGACGGGUGAGUAAUGCUUAGGAAUCUGCCUAUUAGUGGGGGACAACGUCUCGAAAGGGAUGCUAAUACCGCAUACGUCCUACGGGAGAAAACAGGGGACCACUUGUGACCUUGCGCUAAUAGAUGAGCCUAAGUCGGAUUAGGUAGUUGGUGGGGUAAAGGCCUAACAAGGCGACGAUCUGUAGCGGGUCUGAGAGGAUGAUCCGCCACACGGGGACUGAGACACGGCCCAGACUCCUACGGGAGGCAGCAGUGGGGAAUAUUGGACAAUGGGGGGAACCCUGAUCCAGCCAUGCCGCGUGUGUGAAGAAGGCCUUAUGGUUGUAAAGCACUUUAAGCGAGGAGGAGGCUCUUUUGGUUAAUACCCAAGAUGAGUGGACGUUACUCGCAGAAUAAGCACCGGCUAACUCUGUGCCAGCCGCCGCCGUAA